UACGUAGGGAGCAAGCGUUGUCCGGAAUCAUUGGGCGUAAAGCGCGCGUAGGCGGCCCUGUAAGUCCGUUGUGAAAGUCAAAGGCUCAACCUUUGAAAGCCGAUGGAUACUGCAGGGCUAGAGUCCGGAAGAGGCGAGUGGAAUUCCUGGUGUAGCGGUGGAAUGCGCAGAUAUCGGGAGGAACACCAGUGGCGAAGGCGGUUGCCUGGGGCUGUGCUGACGCUGAUGCGCGAAAGCGUGGGGAGCGAUCCGG
rnacentral:rRNA from 1 species